AUGUUCCAUCUUGACCCUGGGAUUUGGGGGGUAGGGGAAAAGCUCGAUGAGCUGGACAAUGAGAUUCUUAAUAGACCUUUCACAGAGGAAGAAGUGAAGAGAGCCUUAUUUUCCAUGAAAAGCAACAGGGCCCCUGGCCCGGACAAUAUCCCCGCUGAAUUUUACCAGCAGUGCUGGGAGAUAGUGAAGGAGGAUAUCAUGAGAUUGUUUGCUGCUUUCCACGCAGGAGAGCUGGACGUUUGUAGACUGAAUUAUGGUAUUAUUACUUUGUUGCCUAAAAUCAAUGGGGCCAAUAAGAUCCAGAAGUUUAGGCCGAUUUGCUUGCUGAGAUGUCCCUACAAGUUAAUAACUAAAGUGCUUGAUAACAGGGUGGCCCCUUUUGCUGAUAAAUUGUUUAGUAAGCAUCAAAAUACCUUUAUCAAGCAUAGAAACAUCAUGGAUGGGGUAUUGUCGUUGCACGAAAUUCUGCAUCAUACUUACAACAAGAAGAAGGUGGGUAUUGUCAUCAAGCUUGAUUUUGAGAAAGCUUAUGACAAAGUGAACUGGGACUUUCUUUUGGAAUGUCUUGAGAUGAGAGGGUUUGGUCCCACAUGGUGUGGGUGGAUUAAAAGUGUCCUGGUUGAUGGCACAGUCAGUGUGAAGCUGAACAAUGUGAUGGGGCCAUAUUUCAAGAGCUUUAAAGGGGUUAGACAGGGGGAUCCUGUGUCGCCCUUCCUUUUUAACAUUGCUGCUGAAUGCUUGUGUAAAAUGGUGCUGCAGGCGCAGAGAAAUAAUCUAGUUGUGGGACUUGCUCCGGAUCUUGUUGAAAAUGGAGUGGCAAUACUGCAAUAUGCAGAUGAUAUAGUCCUAUGCAUAGACCAUGAUUUGGAUAAAGCUGUGAAUAUGAAGUUGCUGUUAUACAUAUUUGAGCUCAUGUCUGGGCUUAAAAUCAAUUUCCAGAAAAAUGAGAUCCUGUGUGUAGGGGGGAUGAUGAGACUCUUAAAGCAUAUGCUGAUAUUUUUGGUUGUCAAAUAG
rnacentral:rRNA from 1 species